CCUAUCCACUUGUCAUUACACCUCUGUAAUUCUUAGUGAUGUUCCACGUUGCCUCCCACACUGACCCUGUACAAACCAGUGCAAGAGUUUCGGGGGUGGGGGACUGUUACUUGAGCCAACUUCUUCCAUCCUGCAAAGGCAGGGAUGGAGCUCAGGAGAUGGUGUUUUGCAUCACUACAACUGGAACAAGAUGAAAGGUCUCUGAAGCAAUAAUGAGAUCCAGGCUUGAUUCAGGACAAGAGGCCAGAUGGGAACAGUAGAGCAUUAGGAUGUUGUGACGCUGGGGUAACCUUUCCAUAAUGAUGUUGUGUGGCCUGAAGUUUGAUGCUGAGAAUCUACAGUGAUUUCUGGCUUAGAAAUAAGAAAUUGAUCAGUAAAUGAAAAAAAAAAAAAGUCUACCUGUAUCCAAUCUCUCCCCACAAGCCCCCCUCCCAGCAUUGUUAUCUAUUUGUAUACGCAACAGUAUUUUAGCAAAUGAAAAUUCUCAGAAUUCUAAUCACAUCCUUAUCCCAAAGCCUGGAUUUCAUCAGAAAGCUUUAUGGUGCUUCUGACUCAGUAGAGUUAGUUAUCCUGUUUAAUUGGAUUGACAGUGACAAUUGUAAUUACCUUAGAUGAGAUUGCCUGUAAUGUAAUUAUACUUCCUUCAUCUGCAUGAGCUGGACUUGUGGAAUACAUACAGAAGAUGCCUCCAAUUACUGAGAGGUUAAGAAGAACAUUAUAUUGCCUCACAAAUCCUGUUUGUUACUGUAUAGAAUUGUAAGAAUUAUGGAAGAAACUGAAGGAAUUACUCCUCUAAAGCAGAUACUCCUGGAAAGUUAAACAACUUGGCUAAUACUCUCCUGCUGGAUUUGGACAGGAAGACCUCACCAAAGCUGAAAGAGUUCGUGGAAAACCAUGGAUGCCAGUAGAACCUGGAAACCCUACAUGGAGCAUAGUGUUAUGUGGAAAGGCUUUUGGAGCUCAUCC
rnacentral:lncRNA from 1 species